UUCUUUUUAGUAUAUGAUGUACGUAGGCUUUUGACGCUUAAGGAGUAGUUUAAUUCUAUAAAUGAAG
rnacentral:tRNA from 1 species